rnacentral:rRNA from 1 species
UGGCGGCAUGCUUUACACAUGCAAGUCGAACGGUAACGCGGGCUUCGGCCUGGCGACGAGUGGCGGACGGGUGAGUAGUGCAUCGGAACGUAUCCUUUUGUGGGGGAUAGCCCGGCGAAAGCCGGAUUAAUACCGCAUAAGCUCUGAGGAGGAAAGUGGGGGACCUUCGGGCCUCACGCUGAAGGAGCGGCCGAUGUCAGAUUAGCUAGUUGGUGGGGUAAAGGCCUACCAAGGCGACGAUCUGUAGCUGGUCUGAGAGGAUGAUCAGCCACACUGGAACUGAGACACGGUCCAGACUCCUACGGGAGGCAGCAGUGGGGAAUUUUGGACAAUGGGGGCAACCCUGAUCCAGCCAUGCCGCGUGCGGGAAGAAGGCCCUCGGGUUGUAAACCGCUUUCAGAUGGAAAGAAAUGGUGUAGGUUAAUAACCUGCAUUGAUGACGGUACCAUCAGAAGAAGCACCGGCUAACUACGUGCCAGCAGCCGCGUUAAUACGUAGGGUGCGAGCGUUAAUCGGAAUUACUGGGCGUAAAGCGUGCGCAGGCGGUUCUUUAAGACAGGUGUGAAAUCCCCGGGCUUAACCUGGGAAUUGCGCUUGUGACUGGAGGGCUAGAGUGUGGCAGACGUGAAUGGAAUUCCUGGUGUACCAGUGAAAUGCGUAGAUAUCAGGAGGAACACCGAUGGCGAAGGCAGUUCCCUGGGCCAACACUGACGCU